rnacentral:tRNA from 2 species
ACCGUUAUAUUUCAAGAGGUUUAGUCCUUAGACCUGAUCAUUCGUAAUGAUGGGGUCGGGGGUUCGAAUCCCUCGUGCGGCACCA